UGUGGUCUUUUUCUACGUCCACAUAUAGUACAAACACUUCUGUAGAAUUAGAUUUUCACCAAGCUAUACGCCCACUUCCCUUUUCUCUCUUUCUACGACAGUUUUGAGCAGCUUCCACCAGCUUUCGGCCAUCCUUUUCGGGUAAAGCAUAUCUAUUUGCAGCUACAUCGGCAACUGGAGCACAAGUAUUUCCAUUGAUGCUUUUUAUACUUCCAAAGUUCUCCAUCUUCAACCUAUACCUUCUCUCCAAAACAUAAGUUAAAUCUUCUGCGCUUCGGUUAAUGCUCAUUUUUCUGUCAAUUGGUUAGUUCUCGCUUUCUACUACCUUCUUUGUUGCACUUAUUAAGGGUUUAAAUUGUGCUAUUUGUUGAAAUUGAAGGUUCACAUUUGUAUUCAAAGUAAUAGCUCAACUUUUGCUUGAUUUGAGUAACUGCAUGAGUUUCUCGACCAAAGAAAAACAUGGAUUUCCGACGGAAAUUUACUCUCGCCAUCUACUUCUGGGUAAUCUCUACAAAGUUUGGGAAUUGUGUUACACCUCUAUGGUUGUGCUGAAUGAUUAGGAUGAUGGAAAAGUUUAGAAUUUCAUUGUACCGUCACUCUCUCAUCUUGCGAAAAAUCUGCGUGUUGUGCUAAAGAUAAUUUUAAGAUAAACUAUGCUAACGUCUACAAGAAGCAUGGUAUGUUGCACUGGGAUGCAUCAUGAUGAUACAGGAAACAUGAUUUAUGUAACUGGCAAUUUUGUAUAAUGCUCCGAAAGCCAGCAAAACAUUGUAGACGUGCGCGACGUCUUGCUCUAAGUUUCUCCCUAUUUGCUCGUUCAAUGGCAUGGAUUGCAUCAAAUAGCAUGGUUACACACAAGGUUUAAAAUUCCAGAUUUCCAGGAAAUAAUCUUCCUCCUCAGCUUUUGCCACACCUUUAUGAUGCACUUUUUGAUGAAAUCUCUUGGGCUACAGAAUAUGAGCCUACAGAGGAGCUGCGGAAGUCUUUCUGCUUCAAGUUUUACCUAAUAAUCAGUAAAAUUUACAAGCAUAAGAAUGCAGACAAACAAAAAGGGCCGAGUGGUGAUCAAACUAUUGUAUACAUUAAAUCAGAAGAUAAAAUCUUUCACGAGUUAAGCAUUUGGUCCUUCAGUUCUCCUUUGCAUACACAGUUGGUUAGGACUGAUGAGGAAGAGACUGGAGACGAUGUACUUCCAUAUGGAGGAAAAGAAGUGGUAUUUACACUUUCACUGGAUUAAGCUAUUGGUCUAUAAAUUGAAAUUUUGAUUCAUAUAACUAUGGGAGAUACCUGCUUCACUUCUCCGUGAGAGAUGUCACUUUUGGAAAUUAAUCCUAAAAACUCAUUGUGGUCGCGAUAUGUGUAUAUUAUUUAGAAUAGUAUGGUAUGACAAUUUAUUUCUGACCAUUUCAGAAAGAAUGAAAUCUUGCAAUAUUUGUAGCUAUAUGGAUCAAGAGAAGUAUGGAAAGUUGCUACUGAUAAGUUUACUUGAAUGUUCAACUCAUCAGAAUUGAAUGUUGUGCCGUGCAUAGCACGACCUUACUUAUCUAGUAUAGAUAUAUAUAUAGGAGACUCUUAGCCUAUCCUAGACUAAGAGUUAUAUAUAUAGUAGAAGGAAGAGAAACUUUAAAAGCUUCUACAAGAUUAAAUUCUAUAAGAUUAAAAAUCUAUUAUUAUAAUUAAUUGAAUUGGCAAAAGCCUCACCCGACGUUGCAUUGAAAGUCACUUUUAAUACCAAUUGUAACAUCUACCAAAGAAUUAAGAGUCACCUCAUUAACUCCACCACGAUUACACCUCUUCAAAUUUACAUUCAUAUAUAUUGAUUCAUUUUAUGUACUGAAUAAAAUAAUCAAUAAUUUACACUCACCAUAUUGAAUAACAUUUGUCAUCACGAGUUAAUAUUUCACCAUAUAGAUUGCCCAAUAAUUUUUUCUACUAAUUAAUUUCCUAACAGUUUCUUCAUUUUAGUAAAUUCUAAUUACAAUAUAAUAUUUUGUACAUUGAUCCCUCACAAUUAUACGGAUAAUUAAUUCUCACGUCUCUUAAUAUUCUUCUAAAUGCUCUAUCUAUAAUUGGAAGCGACCUUUGAGGCUUGAGAGUACUCUUCAAAUGAAAUUUGUUCAGAUUCCCUCUUUCUUAAGUCUCACUUUUGCUGCUCAAAAAAGUAUUCUCUUGACUAUUUUUUUCUUUUAUCAUUAUUAGAAUCUCUCUUGAAAAAAAAUACGACAAUACGACCUAUUAUGUAUAUUUUUUGAGAAUCAUCUUUGUGCAUGUCCUUCAAUAUUGAUUGAAUAUUUGUAUUAGGGGAAGAAAUAUUUACUUAUUCUGGUGGAAACUCCAUAAAAUCUCACGAAACUUUUAAAGUUUCUCUUCCUUCUACUAAUGAUAAAAUUUCAUACUCAUUCAUCCGCAUACUUUUUGUUAUUUUUAGGAAUAGGUUAUUGAACAUGAAGAGUUGAAGUUGUUCAUCCCAUCAUACAAUGAGGUAUUGAAAAGCUAUCCGUCGGUGACUUUUAUGAUUUUGAUAUGGCAGUAGACGAUAAGGAUAGAGAAAGCAAAGUAAUCACUGAGAGAAGAUUGACAGAGUUUGAAUUUUUAUAGACGCUAUAUUGUUUAAUUUAAGAUU